CGGAGUGUAGCGUAGUCCGGUCCAUCGCGCAUGUUUUGGGUACAUGAGGUCAAGGGUUCAAAUCCCUUCAUUCCGA
rnacentral:tRNA from 1 species